GGCAUGCCUGAUGGGGGCGCCACACUGGAAACGAUUAACAGGAAACACUCUGUUUCGGGCGAUAACUGCAGAGAACCAGAACAACAUACAGGGGUAAUCCAUAGAGAGAAAGCAGAUGGUGCCAGCGACCGAGGCGGAGACAGGCAUCCGGAAGGCCGUGGUGGAUCCAGAGCGACAGAGGAAUGAGAUGGAGCCGGAGAGAAGGAGGAGCCUGACAGAGCCAGUGGAAUGAGAUGGAGCCGGAGGAGUGGAGUCUUGAGGUGGCGAAUGGUCGACGACAGACCAAGGUGGAGUCAGUGGGACGAGGGAGCCCAGUGGAGCUGGUGAACUGACGGGCAACGGUGGAGAGGAGGGAGCUAGAGUCAUGUUGGAGCCACUGAGUCGCAGGGCUGAAAAAAGGUGGCAAAAUUCACCCAAGGACCAUCUCCUGACUCCUGCGCUCUACACUCAUCAUUCAGGCUGGUAUUACAGAAAGCUGAGAGGCAGCAUCCCGUAUAGUUGGUAAGGUUGGUGAUUUCCACGAAUAGUCUUGUAUGAUCCUCGAGGGAAAGGCUUCUCUGCUCCAGCAUGAAAGAGGAAGCAGGCUGGGUCAUUCAUAAUAUGAAAAUAACAACUUACAAAACAGGAAACCAAACGAGGGGAACACACGCCGCCUUUCUUUUUCAAGGUCUGGUCACACAGAGCCCAUGGGGAAUGAAAACAGUCCUCGGGUGUGACACCUGUCACAUGAACUCUGAUUGUGUGUACUGCAUGUGUCAGUUUAUGACACUCCUAUUUUCCUGUUUUUACAUUAUAUGCAGAAUUUUGCUUGUCAGAAAGAUUUUUAAUGUUACUUUUAAGUUGGGGUAGAAUUAAAUAAAUGCCAAAACUCCUAA